rnacentral:rRNA from 1 species
UAGUCCACGCCGUAAACGAUGGAUGCUAGCCGUUGGGCAGUUUACUGUUCAGUGGCGCAGCUAACGCAUUAAGCAUCCCGCCUGGGGGAGUACGGUCGCAAGAUUAAAACUCAAAGGAAUUGACGGGGGCCCGCACAAGCGGUGGAGUAUGUGGUUUAAUUCGAAGCAACGCGCAGAACCUUACCUACCCUUAACAUUUCACGACGUAUACAGAGAUGUAUAUUUCUCUUCGGAGACGUGAGGAUAGGUGCUGCAUGGCUGUCGUCAGCUCGUGUCGUAAGAUGUCUGGUUAAGUCCAAUAACGAGCGCAACCCUUAUCCUUAGUUACCAGCAUUAAGUUGGGGACUCUAGGGAGACUGCCGGUGUUAAACCGGAGGAAGGCGGGGAUGACGUCAAGUCCUCAUGGCCCUUACGGGUAGGGCUACACACGUACUACAAUGGCAGAUACAAACCGUUUGCAAAGCCGCGAGGUUGAGCUAAUCGGUAAAACACUGUCCCAGUCCGGAUUGGAGUCUGCAACUCGACUCCA